GACGUAGGGCGCGAGCGUUGUCCGGAUUUAUUGGGCGUAAAGAGCUCGUAGGCGGCUCAUUGCGUCCAACCGUGAAAACCUGCAGCUUAACUGUGGGCUUGCGGUUGAUACGGGUGGGCUGGAGUUCGGUAGGGGAGACUGGAAUUCCUGGUGUAGCGGUGAAAUGCGCAGAUAUCAGGAGGAACACCGGUGGCGAAGGCGGGUCUCUGGGCCGAUACUGACGCUGAGGAGCGAAAGCGUGGGGAGCGAACAGG
rnacentral:rRNA from 1 species